rnacentral:lncRNA from 1 species
GAUUAGGGACAAACGGCCUCUGCCCAGUUGUUGGAGCUCUUCUUUGUGUGGGUACCCCUAACCAGGCCUCCCUGCCCUCCUGUGGUUUCUCACCGUUAGGAGAUGCCUCUUCCUGUCUCCUUCCCUUCUGAGUUGUUACUGUGCCCUUUUCCGGGUCUGCCUCCGGCUGGGUGAAGAAGCUCUCUGGUAAUUAGGCGGCCAGCUUUACCAGCCCUGGCAAACGAGCUUUUGGGUCUGGUGCUCUUGGUUGAAUCUUUGCAUUCACCUCCUGGUGCAGGAGAGGAAGUGAACUGUUGCCUCACAUUCGGCACAGCAGCCCACUCUUACACCGGGUGAGUGGUUUCACAAUCAGACAAAUUGCUUAUUAGCAAAAGGACCAAAACGUCAGAGAAACAGUCUGUGCUGGGGUUGGGUGUGCCCACCUGGGGAGGUGCGGGGCAGGCGAAGGGAAUUCCCUGGAGCUCCAGCUCAGCUCUGCUUUUUACUAACAUAGGAGCAAACCAACCCCCUAAGAAGGGCAGCCUGAUGCUUCAUUUGGAAGUGAAACUUGCAAAUGAGGUGGCAGAAUGGCUCCAGAUUGGGCCAGCUGGACCCUCCUCUGGUGGGAAGCCACAGCGCCUGUCCAUUAAAUAGGCCAUUAGCUACUGGAACAUGGUAAGAAAGUAAUAUGUGGUCAUCCCCCAAAUCAGGUCCAGGCCUUGUUGUUGUGUUAUCUGCUCAGGCUUACACGUGUGGUAGACGGCAGCCCAGAUCAUUCCCUAGCUCCUUCCUCUCACAUUUCCAUGGCUGUUUGCAGAGCCAAGAGCCUGACAGCAAUGUCUGCAAUUAUUUUACUUCCCGGUAGAAGUCCACCUUUGAGUCCGUCCUCCACCCUGGGCGGUGUGUAAGCUGUUUCCUUCAAGCUCUUUACAGAAUAUGUUGUUUCUUGAAGGCUGCUCCCAUAAGACCAUGUAUAGCAUAACUACUUGAUGGCAAUAAAAUCAGGUUUUGGAAGCCCUCUCUCCAGUAUUGAAGAACAAGUGUGCUCUUAAAACAGUGUUUUCUGUGCUUGUGGCAUCACAAUGGGUGCAAGAUCUUCCUUGCUUAGAAAAGAACCGAAGGGUAACUGAGUGGCUCCAGCUUGUGGUGACUAUUGGUGUGUCUGUGAGGCAGCAUCCAGAAUAUGGGCUGAGGUUGUCUGUAUCAAGAGGUUACUUCUGUGAAGUUGCUUGGCUUGUGUUUGAGGCCAGGUCUGGCUUUGAUUUUGUUGGUGCUACAUGGUUGCCUACCUGCAGCUGUCCAGCCCAGGCCCAGGGUCAGUGGUGCUUCCUGUUUCUCCAUGGCCACAGGAAUGAUUAUGUGUCUGUCCUGUGUAAUGCUCAGGUGUGAGCACGGUCCUUUCUUUGUCCUUCGGAGUUGGUUCACUGGCUCUGGCCUUUUAUGAACUAGGUCUUCACCCCAACACUCCAGCCCAUGGAGUUUGACUGGGAGGCAAUCUAAAGGCCACUCCAGUGACACUGGGUGGUGGCAACUAAAGGAAAGACUGUGUGCAGACAUAGGCUUCUUGUGGGGAGGGAAGCUUUUUUGUACCUCAGCCCCACCCUUACCUACAUUUCAGUGUCAUUGUAGUUUGGUGUCUUGCCUACUGUUCCCAGAGUUGGGACACUUUUUCCUUUUGUUUUUGUUUUGUUUUUGGUGUGGGGGAGGAAUAAGAUGGGGUUACAAAACAAGGUUUUUCUGGGUAGCCCUGGCUGUCCUGGAACUCACUUUGUAGGUCAGGCUGCCCUCAAACUCAAGAGAUCCACCUGUCUCUGCCUCCAGUGCUAAGAUUAAAGGUGUUCCAUGCCACUGUCUGGUCCCAAUUAUUCAGUGAUGGGGCCUUGCAGAAUCAAGGGCUGGAUUGCAGUCAUCUUUUGAGUUGAUUACUGGCUAUGUGAGAGAGAGGAUUUUUCUCAUAAAAAGAUGGAUUUGGGGCUCAGUGUCUUUUGUAAGUGCCUGAAUAAGUAAGCUGGGCUAUGUGCAUAGAAAGUCUGAUGAGAAAGGUGACUUUACACCUCAGAGUCUCUAAUUAUCUUACAAGAUAAAGCUGACCCUGAGGCUUGACUCUACUGUGUACCCUUGCUGCAGCUUGUGUAGUUGACGAGGAACACCUGCAGACACAGUAUCAGAACGAAACAAAUGGGGGUGAAGGCAGAAUUGGAGGAAGAUGGGGACUGGGUACAACAGGCAAAGCUAUUUUAACCAGCAUCUCAGGAGGUACUGUGUAAUGUCUCAUCGCAGGCCUGAGAAUGCUCUGCAGGAAAUCCAGGAAGGGCCAUCUUCUCAGAAUAUGUGUGCUAGGGAAAAUAAAUGUUCAGAGCACAGGCUUCAACUCAAGUGGAAAGUUUCUGUGGUGGCCAUCAACAGCUUCUGAGGUGGGUGACACUGCUGCCUUCCCAGGAGGCAGGGCCACUCUGUGUCUGAGGGAAUGAAUCAUUCUGGAGAAUUAGGUUUUCUCCUAAGGGCAAAAUGUGUGUGGAUGUUGCCUCUUACACCAUACUUACUUCUGAAGUUGCACUUGUUCACCUACCAGUGUUUACGGAAUCCUGUGUGUGGGAUGCUUUUUUUCUAUAAUAAAGUUUUUUUAUUUGUG